AUUGAACGCUGGCGGCAGGCUUAACACAUGCAAGUCGAGCGGAGAUGAGGUGCUUGCACCUUAUCUUAGCGGCGGACGGGUGAGUAAUGCUUAGGAAUCUGCCUAUUAGUGGGGGACAACAUUCCGAAAGGAAUGCUAAUACCGCAUACGUCCUACGGGAGAAAGCAGGGGAUCUUCGGACCUUGCGCUAAUAGAUGAGCCUAAGUCGGAUUAGAUAGAUGGUGGGGUAAAGGCCUACCAAGGCGACGAUCUGUAGCGGGUCUGAGAGGAUGAUCCGCCACACUGGGACUGAGACACGGCCCAGACUCCUACGGGAGGCAGCAGUGGGGAAUAUUGGACAAUGGGGGGAACCCUGAUCCAGCCAUGCCGCGUGUGUGAAGAAGGCCUUAUGGUUGUAAAGCACUUUAAGCGAGGAGGAGGCUACUGAGACUAAUACUCUUGGAUAGUGGACGUUACUCGCAGAAUAAGCACCGGCUAACUCUGUGCCAGCAGCCGCCGUAACAC
rnacentral:rRNA from 1 species